rnacentral:misc_RNA from 1 species
GAUGAAGAACGUAGUGAAAUGCGAUACGUAAUGUGAAUUGCAGAAUUCAGUGAAUCAUCGAGUCUUUGAACGCACAUUGCGCCUUCUGGUAUUCCGGAGGGCAUGCCUGUCCGAGCGUCAUUGCUGCCCUCAAGCACGGCUUGUGUGUUGGGCUCCGUCCCCCGAUCCCGGGGGACGGGCCCGAAAGGCAGCGGCGGCACCGCGUCCGGUCCUCGAGCGUAUGGGGCUUUGUCACCCGCUCUGUAGGCCCGGCCGGCGCUUGCCGAUCAACCAAAUUUUUAUCCAGGUUGACCUCGGAUCAGGUAGGGAUACCCGCUGAACUUAAGCAUAUCAAUAAGCGGAGGA